GCUUACGGCCAUACCGUUCCGGCGGCGACCGAUCUCGUCUGAUCUCAGAAGCUAAGCGGGGCCAGGUUUGGUUAGUAAUUGGUUGGGAGACUGCCUGGAAAUACCAAGUGCUGUAAGCU
rnacentral:rRNA from 1 species